AGGGUUCGAUUCUGGCUCAGGAUGAACGCUGGCGGCGUGCUUAACACAUGCAAGUCGAACGGGAUCCACCGGGCUUUGCUUGGUGGUGAGAGUGGCGAACGGGUGAGUAAUGCGUGACCGACCUGCCCCAUACACCGGAAUAGCUCCUGGAAACGGGUGGUAAUGCCGGAUGCUCCAGUUGAUCGCAUGGUCUUCUGGGAAAGCUUUCGCGGUAUGGGAUGGGGUCGCGUCCUAUCAGCUUGACGGCGGGGUAACGGCCCACCGUGGCUUCGACGGGUAGCCGGCCUGAGAGGGCGACCGGCCACAUUGGGACUGAGAUACGGCCCAGACUCCUACGGGAGGCAGCAGUGGGGAAUAUUGCACAAUGGGCGCAAGCCUGAUGCAGCGACGCCGCGUGAGGGAUGGAGGCCUUCGGGUUGUAAACCUCUUUUAUCGGGGAGCAAGCGAGAGUGAGUUUACCCGUUGAAUAAGCACCGGCUAACUACGUGCCAGCAGCCGCGGUAAUACGUAGGGUGCAAGCGUUAUCCGGAAUUAUUGGGCGUAAAGGGCUCGUAGGCGGUUCGUCGCGUCCGGUGUGAAAGUCCAUCGCUUAACGGUGGAUCCGCGCCGGGUACGGGCGGGCUUGAGUGCGGUAGGGGAGACUGGAAUUCCCGGUGUAACGGUGGAAUGUGUAGAUAUCGGGAAGAACACCAAUGGCGAAGGCAGGUCUCUGGGCCGUUACUGACGCUGAGGAGCGAAAGCGUGGGGAGCGAACAGGAUUAGAUACCCUGGUAGUCCACGCCGUAAACGGUGGAUGCUGGAUGUGGGGCCCGUUCCACGGGUUCCGUGUCGGAGCUAACGCGUUAAGCAUCCCGCCUGGGGAGUACGGCCGCAAGGCUAAAACUCAAAGAAAUUGACGGGGGCCCGCACAAGCGGCGGAGCAUGCGGAUUAAUUCGAUGCAACGCGAAGAACCUUACCUGGGCUUGACAUGUUCCCGACGGUCGUAGAGAUACGGCUUCCCUUCGGGGCGGGUUCACAGGUGGUGCAUGGUCGUCGUCAGCUCGUGUCGUGAGAUGUUGGGUUAAGUCCCGCAACGAGCGCAACCCU
rnacentral:rRNA from 1 species